AUGUCGGACCGGGCAGGGCAGGGCCGGCCGCUCCGCCCUCAGACCGCCGGCUCCAUGGUGCCCGCGGCGGCUGAGGCGACACGGGGAGACGCCGCUCCAAGCCGCCCCGCUCCGCAACCCGCGGCCGCUUCCGGCAGCGCCACAAAGAGCGCGGCGGGCGGCCGGGCCCUACGGAGUUCUGCGCACGCGCGCGCCCGCUCUGUCCUGCAACUCCCCACCCGAGCGCACGGCUCCCGCUGCGGGCAGCGCCAAAUAAGUCGCGGGGAAAAGCUGUGCGCGUGCGCGGCUCGCCGCGGCGGUCCCCGUCGCCUCCGCCGUCCUCUUCCUCUUAAAGGGGACGCGCCCGCAUCACCCGCCCCGCCCGAGGCCGCCCUCUUUCGGCACCCCAUUCCGCGGAACGCCGCCGUCCUUUGCCGCUCCGACAGGCGCUGCGGCCCCCGGGCUCGGGCGGGGUCGCACGAGGGCACGCCGUCACCCCACAAGCAGCCUCCAAGCGCUCGGCCCCUCGAUGCGGUCCGCAGGUCACCGCCCGCGUCACCCCGGAGCGGAAAGAGGAGAAUUCACCCGCAGCAGCGCCCGGUGAGGCAGCUCUGCUCUCUCCCUUUGCACCACGUGCGCUUUUCCCAAUGGACGUUAAUGGCCCCGGGCUGCCCGCCGCUGCCGUGCGCUGGCUGCCAGGUCGGUGCAGUUUGCCGUGCGGGGAUUUUCUGCCUCGGGAUUCGCGCACUUCGCCGUUCUCACGGUACCCCCGUUAGAGCGCCAGCAAUGUUAACAUCGCUGUCUCUCCCUUCUAGCAAGCUCACGCCACGGAUGCAGCAGUCGCUGCGGGGCUGGCUGUCCCGUCACAGGCGCUGCUGUGCUCCCCUGGCAGGCAGGCCCAGCAGCCGCUCUGCUCCGCCCUGCGGGAAGGGGGAGGAGGAUGGGAAAGGUGACGGUUAGAAAGUGUGAGGGUUGGUAUUACGGCAGAUAGAUAAGGAAAAAGAGGAAAUACAUAUUUUUCAAAAAGCACAAACCCUCCUCCCCUUGAGAAAACUACUCCAGAAGAGCUCAUGGUGCAAAAUGCAAUUGUAUACCACUGCAACUAAUGCAUAGCAGCAGUUUUUUUCCCCUGGAAAAGCUCCCCACUGCUUCUCUUGCAGAGCACGGCACCGUAUGAUCUGGAACAUCCCAGCUGUCCUGGCUGUGUGCCCUCCCAGCUGUGCACCUACAGCAUGCUCUGUAAGCACUUAACUGUGUAAGCACUGCUGAGCUGCAGCUACAUCUGUGUGUUUUCAACGCUGUUUUCAUCACAAAACCAAGCCACAGCACAGCAGGAAGUACUGUGAGAAAAAAUAACACUCCCCAAAACCAGCACGGGCACAGUAAGGCUGCUGCUGGAGCACUGUGCAAGAUCUCCAUCCCAGCUAUCCGUGCUGAUGCUGGCCGAGUGACCAUCACACAUCGAGGGCUCGGUGACCCCAAGCAGUUGCAGGAAUGAUGGAUCUAGUUGUGUACUCCUGGGAAAACCCCAGAGGAAUACUCAAGACCACAGUGCAGGUAAAGUCCUAGUCUGGCAGAGCCUGAGCAGCAUGCCAUGUCCUGUCUCAAGGUCUGUGCAAUGCUGCAUGACUUCUUUCCAAUAUUUCAAGGAAUGUAAGAUUAUGUUGUUCUUUUUUUCCUCAUGUUGUCUCCAGCGUGUUUUGUUUUGUUUUUAAUAAACGCCUUGCAGAAUCUGAGUCCCUUUCUUAGGGGAUCUGUAAGGAGCAGGCACCCCUGUGCUUUACAUCUGCUGUUGUUGGCAGGAUCCCACUUGCCUUGAAGGCACUGCCAAUGCCCUGGUUGGGGCUGUGGGCAGGAGGGAGGUGGGGAUGUGAUUGUGGCAGCUGGGGACUGUGGGGCUGGAGAGGAGUGAAGGGGCCUCAGGGGACUGCAAACCUGAAAGCCACAGGGGAUGAUUAUGAAAGUGAGAUGUUGCUGGUAGGGGCACACAGGGAGCAGACCAGUGGCAAACCAGUGCUUUCCCUAUGGGGUGAGUGUAAGUAAGCAAAGGGGAAAGGGCAAAGGAGCACUCCCAGAGCUCUAAAAGUGCUGAAGCCUGGGUUCUGCCUCCAAUCCCACCCAGUCUGCCCUGCUUCAUUGUUCUUCAGUUUCUUGGUUUGCUCUUGUUUGGCAUCUUCAGGAUGUCCUGUGUUCUCAAGUGCCCAGCUGCUCUUCAGGGGUGGUCUUUCCCAACCUUGUUGAUUCUGAUUCUGUGAUUUAGAAUUAGGACCACUGAAACUGUAGAAUUCACAGUUCCUAUUAAUUACAUUCUAUGUCAGAUUGCAGUCUCAGACUGGCAGAGGUGAUCAUUUGCUAUUGCUGACUCAUUAUUACAGGUCCUUGAGGACUUCAGGCCAGAACCAAUACAAGCUUGUACUUUUACAUUUACAUUUACAUCAAUUUCAAGUUUCAUUGUAAUAAAGAGUGUAAUCACAAUUGCUUGUUUUUCCCACAUAUAUUAUGUUAUGGGAAAUAUAAUACUGUGCGUGUAAUACUUCAUAUUGUAAGUUUCUCUAUCACAACAGCUCCUUUCCCAACUGACUUCAGCUCAUUGGGAAUGUCCCAGCAACAAAGCUCGUUGCUUCAAGCAGCUGUUUGUUUCUCAGUGUCUGUGGAACUGCCCCAUGGAAUUUCUUAGGAGGGUUCUGGCAGGCAAACAUCAAAACUAUUAUUAGCAUGACAACUAGCAGAAAAAAAAUCUACAUCUGUGUGCCUUGUGAUACCACUGGGGAGUCGCUGUCAUCCCGUGACUUCACAACGGAGUGGAUGGAUAUAUAUAUAGGUGGCUCAGGGUACAGAUACCCAGAGUGUUCUGCCCUCUUCUGAGUCCUGCUGGCAGCUCUUGAGACAUCAGUGCCUUCCCCGGAUGGAACAUGAGAUAUCAAGGCCUUGCCAGCUGUACAUGAGACAUCAACGCCCUGCAAGUGGAUUGCAAGUGACCGAGGAUCCUGCUCAAGGAACAGCAGACGUCAGAGCUCCUGCAAGUGGCACACGAAGUGUCCAUCACUGUCAGCAACACACGGGGUGCUGAGGCCCAGACACUGCUGAUUGCUCUGUGAGAGGCAGCCUCCAGUGAGUCUGUUUUCUGAGCACCUCAAUGCUAGCGCAGCUGCAGCUAGGAGUCAGUCAGGAGGAGCUGCCAGGAGGUACAGGUGCAGUUGGUGGAGGGCCCUGAGGAGGAGACAUGUCCCAUCUGUCUCUGCCCACUGGCAGACAUGGCUCGCAUAGGCAGGCACACCUUCUGCAGGAGCUGCAUCCAGUGCUGGGACACCACCAGGGCCCAUUGCUUCCCUCCUGAGCCUCAUGACACACACCCCAAAGGACUCCUUGGUCUGCCAGACCUGGGGAAGGAUCCAGUGCUGGGAAAGAACAUCUCCCCAUUGGUCCUUCAGGGUCUCAUCCAGGCACAAGGAGCACAGCGUCUCCAGAUGCCCCCACCAGUGAGUCUGCGGCCUCUCCUGGCACCAGGAGCCCAAUGAGUAUCGCAAGGUCCAGCCACCGUGGGACACUGAGGAGGGGAAUGGCUGAGCCAGGUCCUGUGGGAGCAGCUGGGUGCCGGAGAGCACACAGCACUGCACUCAGCCCCACUGCUGAGCGGGCAGCCCAACCUCACCUGGGGACAGCGUGGGGAUGGAAGGUGCUGGUGGGGAGCAGCUGAGGCUCUGCACAGCUCUUCUUCCUCAGCUCUCACUGAGCAUCGCUCAUCCCUGGGCUGUGUUAGGAGAAGUGCUGCCAGCAGCUUGAGGUCACUUUUCCAUUCCCACCUACUCUGCCCUCGUGAGGCCACAACGUCCAGGUGUGGUUUCCCCGGUAACACAGAGACCCAGACACAUUGGAGAGAGCCCAGGGAAUGGCCACCACGGUGCCGGGAGGACGGGAGCAUCUCUGCUGUUAGGAGGUGGGAUGGACAGACGCUGGGAUGGUCCUCCAGCCAAAGAGAAUAUUCCAGGAAAUCUUGUCAUUGUCAGUAAAUUGUGGCAUAUCCUCAAGUUGGUGGCUGAUAUUUCCUUUUCAGAGAUGAACUAGAAACUC